GUGGUUUGUUGUCAAUCAAUUCCGUGCGUGACCAUAUACGGUAAAUAGGGUUGAUGAUCUCACUGGCGUCAAGUAAGGCGGUGCUUAAAUGGCCAAAGAGGCGGAGUAUAAUUUGAAUAUUCUAGCGCGAUUGGCUCUUGACAGGCAGUGAAAGGUGUGAGCUAUUUUUAGAGAGCUAUAUAGCAGCGGCAGCGCUCUGGCGUCGCUCAUACUGCCCGAGAGAACGCAACAAACAGAAGUAGAAGUUGCAGUUGUAAUGUGAAGCAAUUCUACGCUUGUAUGAAGUCAUAUCAGUUGGAAAUCACACAUUACGGUCUUCCUGCCAGAGAGAAUUAGCCAGAGUGGGUGCUGGAUGGAGGGGUGGAGGCUGCUCCAUCCAUGCAGCAGGUCAGAUGUCAGAGAACAAGAUUGAGUCCUGCCUUUCUGUGGAGAGCUCUACUGAGGGACAGAGGAUGCUGGGAAAAGAAGCAGGUGUGUGCUUUGGUGUUGUUGCGCAGCGGGUUAAGGGCAGGUGCAAGUCUGCCAGGCACAGUGGCACAGCUGGGCAGUGUAAGCCUUGAUGACUGCACCCCCCCUUACCUAAACCUCUGUCUCACCAAGUCUGAAAAAGCUGGUUUCUAACUGGGCCUAGCCCUGACCCAGGCAAACCCUGCACCUUGCAAACUGGGCCAUGGACUUAAUAAAACACACUCAGGGUGCCUGCCCUGCAGUUCCUACCUCCCACAUUUACCUUGGAGGAUGAAGCGUUAAAUUUUAAAGACUGUAUGACGUCCACAGGGGAAUAAUUUGUUAUGCCUAGACACAACUACAUGUAAGAUGCAUGAUAUUACAUGCAGUUGUGUCUAAGCAUAAAAAAUUAUUCUAGACUUCAUACACCCAUAUUAAAAGGGAU